GAAGAGUUUGUCUUAACGAAUAUAUCUUUUGAAUUUUUUAAAAUUGAAGAUGGGAAAUACCUAUCUCCGAUCCGUUGAUUUUGUUUUUGUUCCUGUUUUUUUUAUGAUUUUUUCCUAGAGAUAAUUUCUAAAGGCAUUAUCUCUCGUGGUGACGACUUCAUGUUAAGCUCUCUCUCCAAGAAAAAGGAAUUCAAGUUUAAAUUCAUAUUUAGCUCUAUCCCAAAAAAAAAAAAGUUUGAUACCUUCUCGCUUUGUUUUUGCCUUUUUGGUGUCUUAUUUGUAUCUUCUGCACUGAAACCUUUGGUCGGGGUAUGAAUCUAGAUUCGAAUAACACACUAGCAUUACUUUUUAAUAUGAUUGAGCAUGUUGGAAAUUCAUGUUUUAUGCUGCCUCUUUUAUUCUCUUAGUUUUUCUUUUAAAUAAACAUAACUCAUUUUGAGAUCUUUCAUCUCAAAAUGUUUUUCUUUUUAAUUUGUUACUACGGCGAAAUAGUUGUUAUUUUUGUGUAACCGGAAAAAUUUUUAGACAAGAUUCUUUUUCAAAUACUAGAAGUUCUUAAAUUCAUUUUAGUUAAAAAAAAUUAAACAUCAACUACUUUAAUCUUUUUUAUAUAUAAAUUUCUCUAAAUCGGUCAUAUUUAAGAGCAUUUUUUAUAUUUAAGAAAAAUAAAGUUAAUAAUGUCACCUCAUGUCACCAUAUCAAAAUUCUUAGUGAUAAGCAUCAUGUACGACCUCUCGCUUUGGAUACAAGUAUGAACACUCGUUUUGAAUCUUCAUGCAUCAUGCUUUGGAGUUACAAUGAUGUUCAUGUUCAUGUUUCACGAUUAGAAUAAAGUCUGUUUUAGUGGGAAUCUUUAUUUGGUUUCUAGGUACGCGAUGCAACUAGUUUGAUACAUAGGUUUACUUCAAAGUGGGAAACUCGGAAUAGAAUAAAGCUACCAUCAUGUCACGAAUGAUUAAAAUUUGGCGUAUAAAAUAUAAAUAUCACCCCUCUUUUCAAAAGCCUUUUCUUUUAAUAAAAUAAAAUGAGUCAAAUAUAAGAGAACAUCUUAGAAGUUGGGCCUUAGUAAAGUAGUUAAUAGAAUGUUAGAAAAAGAAAGUAGUCAAUAAAGAAAUUAACAAUAAAAAAGAGUGGUUAACAGAAACCGAGUUUUUUUUUUUUUUUUAAAUAAAGGAUCAUCAAGGAAUAAAUAAAAAUAAUUCAAGAGUGGGAUGGAGAAGAAAAAUAUCUAUGAUUUUUGUUCCAAAGUGAACGGCAUCUUAGUCAUGCAAUCAUACCUGUGAGCAUCGAAGAAUAUGGGGAGGCAGAAGAAGAGAGAAGUUCAAGCGAAGAAGAAGAAUACUGGUAGCGUGAAUAGCAGAGGCUGCUCCAAGAGACGUAGAACCAAAGAACGUGGAUGCAUCAUCCUUUAAACACCAAAAACAAACAAGCGUCUCUCUGCAUCUUGUGUUUACUCUGUGAUUUCGAACUUUCAUGUUUUUGUGUGUUGGCCUUGUGUAAUAAUAGUAGCAAUAACUACCCUCACCCUGUGCUACUCUUAGUCUUUAGCUACGAUAGUCAGAAUCCGAUGAUUAGCCAAACAUCAAUCUGCCUAGUUUUUAUGUAUAUGAUUUUCUAAUGUGACAUGGGACGUGUUGUAACUCCUUGUUAUAAAAAAGGAUUGUGGUUUUCGAGGUUUUUGGAUGAA